rnacentral:rRNA from 1 species
ACACCGGCAGCUCAAGUGGUAGCCGCUUUUAUUGGGCCUAAAGCGUCCGUAGCCGGUCUGAUAAGUCUCUGGUGAAAUCCCACAGCUUAACUGUGGGAAUUGCUGGAGAUACUAUCAUGACUCGAGGUCGGGAGAGGCUGGAGGUACCCCCUGGGUAGGGGUGAAAUCCUGUAAUCCUGGGAGGACCACCUGUGGCGAAGGCGUCCAGCUGGAACGAACCUGACGGUGAGGGACGAAAGCCAGGGGCGCGAACCGGAUUAGAUACCCGGGUAGUCCUGGCCGUAAACGAUGUGGACUUGGUGUUGGGAUGGCUUCGAGCUGCCCCAGUGCCGAAGGGAAGCUGUUAAGUCCACCGCCUGGGAAGUACGGCCGCAAGGCUGAAACUUAAAGGAAUUGACGGGG